rnacentral:ribozyme from 12 species
GGAACGACAUGCAGGGAAUAUAUACCCAAUUUUUGGCAAGAGCAUCUCUUUUUGCGAAACGAAACAUAAUAUUGAUUUAAACGCCGGCGGUACCGUGGCAGGAUAAAUGACA